rnacentral:rRNA from 1 species
GACGAACGCUGGCGGCGUGCCUAAUACAUGCAAGUAGAACGCACAGUUUAUACCGUAGCUUGCUCCACCAUAGACUGUGAGUUGCGAACGGGUGAGUAACGCGUAGGUAACCUGCCUGGUAGCGGGGGAUAACUAUUGGAAACGAUAGCUAAUACCGCAUAAUAUUGAUUAUUGCAUGAUAAUUGAUUGAAAGAUGCUAUUGCAUCACUACCAGAUGGACCUGCGUUGUAUUAGCUAGUAGGUGAGGUAACGGCUCACCUAGGCGACGAUACAUAGCCGACCUGGGGGGGGGACCGCCCACACUGGGACUGAGACCCGCCCCAGCACCCCACGGGGGGCGGCAGUGGGGAAUUUUCGGAAAGUGAGGAAAGUUGGCCCGGCCACCGCCGGGGGGGGGAAGAAGGUUUUGGGUUCGAAAAGCUCUGUUGGAAGAAAAAAAGGGGGGGGAGGGUGGAAAGUUCACCCUGGGACGGUUUCUUACCAGAAAGGGACGGCAAACUAC